rnacentral:rRNA from 1 species
GGUCCCGCCGCCCCCGCCCGGGGGAAUUUUCCGCAAUGGGCGAAAGCCUGACGGAGCAAUACCGCGUGAGGGAGGAAGGCUCUUGGGUUGUAAACCUCUUUUCUCAGGGAAUAAGAANCUGAAGGUACCUGAGGAAUCAGCAUCGGCUAACUCCGUGCCAGCAGCCGCGGUAAUANCGGAGGAUGCAAGCGUUAUCCGGAAUGAUUGGGCGUAAAGCGUCCGCAGGUGGUUUAUCAAGUCUGCUGUCAAAGAGUUUGGCUC